rnacentral:piRNA from 2 species
UACCUUCUUCUCAGCACCUCACGGGA